CCCCGCGCAAUUAAUCAUAAGGAUAACGAUAAUAGAAAUUUCAGAACCACAUAAAUAGUGAAACUCACAAACCUAUAUUUUUCAUGCUUCAAAACUGAAAAUUAUAUUUCAAAUGGCAAUGAUUUCACACACAGCACCAAUUCAUGCAUCGUUGCACUUUUCAUCAUUCACUACCAAUUUCCCUAAUUCACCUUCAUUCCCAUCUUUUACUCCUAUCAUCAGAACAACUCCUCUUAAAUGUCAUCACAGACAGAGAACUAUAACCAGAGCAACCCUUGAUGAUAUUCAAAGAGAUAAACUUUCCUCAACUCCACUUGUUGUGGACGACGUGAAUCCCAAAAGGGAGUUAGAGGAAAAUGUGAAAGUGCUAAAAAAUGCAGCUAAGACAAGAAAGGUACCCGCGGAGGAGAUUCUUUCUGCACUGUCUUUCAUUGAGAAAGCAAAAGUCGAUCCUUCGGGUUUUCUUGACACCCUUGGAGGAAAGGAAUCCCCUGGGAGAACCUGGAUGCUGAUUUUUACUGCAAAGAAAAAAUUAGACGGUGGUCGCUAUUUUCCUCUCACAGCUGUUCAGAGAUUUGAUGCUUCUGCGAAGCGGAUUGAAAACGGUGUAUUUCUUGGACCUAUUGGACAAUUAACGUUUGAAGGCAAACUUUCAUGGAAAAACAGAAUACUGUCUUUCAUUUUUGAGAACCUUCGAAUAAAAGUUGGACCUUUGAAACCGCUACAAAUCAGCCUUGGAGAAAAGGAUGACAGGGAACCAAGUACCAAGGAUCCCUUUUUCAUCUGGUUUUAUGUUGACGAGGAAAUAGCUGUUGCUCGUGGCCGAAGUGGAGGCACUGCAUUUUGGUGCCGGUGUCGUCAGGUUGAUAAUUGAUUCUUUUUAGCGUCCUCUUGAGUGUCUUUUUCUGAGUUUCUGACUUAUUAGAAAGAAAAAUUGAUGUAGAUAAUUUGAAGCAGUUGAAGUUCAUUCAGAAAUUCGGGUGGGGCCAUUUGUGAAAAAGAAUUACUCAGCAAUUAAAGUGAAGAGGAUUCAAAAAAGUUAGUUACAUAUUGACAAGCCAAAAUAUUUUUCCUCGUUAGGUGAAGUUAGCUGCAUAAAUCAAACAAUAUCAGAACAACUUAUUAUUCAACAAUGUCGUAAUAUCUUAUUAUGAACCAUGUGUCAAGACAAACAAUUUGAAUCCAAAUAUCGUUGAAUGAUUUGAUAAUU